rnacentral:rRNA from 1 species
CAGUCGCCGCGGGAAUACGUAGGUGGCAAGCGUUGUCCGGAAUUAUUGGGCGCAAAGGGCUCGCAGGCGGUUUCUUAAGUCUGAUGUGAAAGCCCCCGGCUCAACCGGGGAGGGUCAUUGGAAACUGGGAAACUUGAGUGCAGAAGAGGAGAGUGGAAUUCCACGUGUAGCGGUGAAAUGCGUAGAGAUGUGGAGGAACACCAGUGGCGAAGGCGACUCUCUGGUCUGUAACUGACGCUGAGGCGCGAAAGCGUGGGGAGCAAACAGGAUUAGAUACCCCCGUAGUCCCUGUCUCUUAUAC